rnacentral:rRNA from 1 species
GAUGAACGCUGGCGGCGUGCCUAAUACAUGCAAGUCGAGCGAACAGACGAGGAGCUUGCUCCUUCGACGUUAGCGGCGGACGGGUGAGUAACACGUAGGUAACCUACCUAUAAGACUGGGAUAACUUCGGGAAACCGGAGCUAAUACCGGAUAAUAUUUCGAACCGCAUGGUUCGAUAGUGAAAGAUGGCUUUGCUAUCACUUAUAGAUGGACCUGCGCCGUAUUAGCUAGUUGGUAAGGUAACGGCUUACCAAGGCAACGAUACGUAGCCGACCUGAGAGGGAGAUAGGGCACAAUGGAACUGAGAAACGGUACAGACUCCUAAGGGAGGCAGCAGUAGGGAAUCUUCCGCAAAGGGCGAAAGCCUGACGGAGAAACGCCGCGUGAGUGAUGAAGGUAUUCGGAUCGUAAAACUCUGUUAAUAGGGAAGAACAAACGUGUAAGUAACUGUGCACGACUUGGCGGUACCUAAUCAGAAAGCCACGGCUAACUACGUG